AAACCUCUGAUAGGAAAACUCCAGACCAGUUGGGAGACUGUGCAAAGGACUUUGCAGAUUUAAAAAAAAAAAAAAAAAAAAAAGCCUUUCUUUCUCACAGGCAUAAGACACAAAUUAUAUAUUGUUAUGAAGCACUUUUUACCAAGGGUCAGUUUUUACAUUUUAUAGCUGCGUGCGAAAGGCUUCCAGAUGUGAGACCCAUCUCUCUUGUGCUCCAGGCUUCAUCACAGGCUGCUUUUUAUCAAAAAGGGGAAAACUCAUGCCUUUCCUUUUUAAAAGAUGCUUUUUCUGUAUUUGUCCAUACGUCACUAUACAUCUGAGCUUUAUAAGCGCCCGGGAGGAACAAUGAGCUUGGUGGACACAAUUCAUUGCUGUGUUGCUCCAUUCCUAGCUUGGGAAGCUUCCGCUCAGAGGUCCUGGAGCCUCGGCACAGCUGCCACGGGCUCUCCUGGGCUUAUGGCCGGUCACAGCCUUAGUGUGACUCUGCAGUGGCCCCUGUGGCCAGGCAAGCAGGAGCAGGUCUCUCUGCAUCUGUUCUUUAAGGAGCUCAAGUUUGGUUGCCAGAAAAAAAAAUGUGCUUCAUUCUUCCCUGGUUAAUUUUUACACACUCUAGGAAACAUUUCCAAGAGCCUGUGAUGGCAAGGCAAAUAAUUCUUAAAGAAGGUGUGGGGUCUUUCCCAACCUGAGGGUUUCUGAAAGGUUCACAGGUUCAAUCUUUAAUGCUUCAGAAGCAUGUGAGUUUCCCAACACUGUCAGCAAAAACCUUAGGAGAAAACUUAAAAAUAUAUGAAUACUUGUGCAGUACACAGCUACAGACACACUUUCUGUUGACAAGGGAAAACCUUCAAAGCAUGUUUCUUUCCCUCGCUGCAAUGGAACAUGCAGUACUAAAGCAAUAUAUUUGUGACUCCCCAUGUAAUUCUUCAAUGUUAAACAGUGCAGUCCUGUUUCUAAAGCUGAGAUGACCAUGUGCCCUUUCCUCUGUACAUAUACCCUUAAGAACACCCCCUCCACACUCUGCCCAUCCCCCAGUAUGCGCUGCAUUGUACUGCUGUGUUAUAUGCUACAUACAUGUCAGAAACCAUUAGCGUUGCAUGCAGGUUUCAUAUUCUUUCUAAGAUGGAAAGUAAUAAAAUAUAUUUGAAAUGUA